rnacentral:rRNA from 1 species
AGAGAGAGACAUGCGCGCAUAUCAAUAAGCGGAGGAAAAGAAACUAACAAGGAUUCCCUUAGUAACGGCGAGUGAAGCGGGAAGAGCUCAAAUUUGAAAUCUUCAAGGUUUUACCUUGACGAAUUGUAGUUUAAAGAAGUGUUUUCUGCUGAAGUUUUGGUAAAAGUUCUUUGGAAUAGGACAUCAUAGAGGGUGAGAAUCCCGUAUUUGACCAUUAUUUUCAGCUUUGUGAUACACUUUCAAAGAGUCGGAUUGUUUGGGAAUGCAGUCCAAAAUGGGUGGUAAAUUUCAUCUAAAGCUAAAUAUUGGCGAGAGACCGAUAGCGAACAAGUACCGUGAGGGAAAGAUGAAAAGAACUUUGAAAAGAGAGUUAAACAGUACGUGAAAUUGUCAAAAGGGAAGCGUUUGACACCAGUGUUGUUUUCUCGAAAAUCAAUUAAAAAUGGCUCGAUUUUGUAUUGCUUGAGACCUUAAAAGCUCACUGUACAUUUUUCGUGUCUUUUUUAAUGCACUUUUCGUUUAACAAGUCAACAUCAGUUUCUUUUGUUGUAAAAGGGUCAUUGGAAGGUGGCUUUCUUUUCGGAGAAAGUGUUUAUAGCCUUUGGCCUCUGCAAUCGGAGAGACUGAGGUCUGCAGCGUAGACUCUUCGGGGUUAGAUACAUUUGUGCUAAGUUAUAGCUUUUAUAGACAACUUGUUGACUAUGAUUAGUCAUUGUAGCUUACUCGCUUAUGCUAUUUUACCUACGCUUAGGAUGUUGAAGAUGUAGCACAUCAU